GAUUUUUCACGACAAUUGCAGCUGUCUAAUUCAUCAGUGAAUAAUUAAAUCAGAGCAACCAGGCCUGCCUGGCGUCGGAGACCAGGGACUCCCCACCCAGAGCCCAUCAGAUUGGGGGGUCUGUGGGGAGCAGGGAGGCCAGGAAGGGACAGGCCUCGCCCUGAGCCAGGGCUGGGAGAGCGGCCAGGCCCGGCGCCAUUCGCGGUGCGUGAACGAAGCCAGAACCCUGUGUGGUGCGAGGAGGCUGGGGAGCAGGGGGGCGCUCCGCAGGGACCCGACUCCCAGCCCAGCACCGUCCUCUACGAGGGCGCAAAUUCCACAUCCCACCCACACACCUAGGCGCCUGGGAGGGCGGUUGUAGGGUUUUGUGCAGACACCCUCCUCACGCAGAGUUUGCGAAGGGAGAGGAAAUCCACCCUCGGGAGGCGAUUUGCAUUUGAGGAAGAUGGAGAGGAGCAGAGAGAAGCGCCUAGAAACGGCAUUGAUUUAGACAUCAAUCCUGGCCAGCUCCCUCCGCCUCUCGAGGCGCGGGGCCGCACCGCCCCCUCCCCGGGAAGCGGCUCCGCGAGGACCCCGGGGCCGCCGGGCCUGGGGAGCCGCUCGAAGAUCCUGCGCGGCCAUCCGCUUCCUCGGCCUCGACGCCGCCCCGCCCGCAGGCCCGGGCUCGGGUCCGACCCGCUCCCACGCGCAUUCUCGAGGCCAACAGGUACUCCCCGGCCGCGAGUCCGCAGCGCCGCUCGCACGGCUCUCCCAGCACCCGGUGGGACGCCCCCCGAGCCCCAGAUCUUUGGAGGAAGCCAAACCAAUUGUGCCCAGCCCAGCCCGGCUCUGGUUCUUGGAGGCCGCGGGGGCCGAGUCCUGCUCCUCCGCCGGCAAGGCUACGAAACGGCCGCCUCCGAACCCAGCGGUCCACCAGAGUUGCUUUCCUCUGCACGUUCGCAAACAAAACAAUUCGGAAUUCCUAAAAGUGACAUCGAGCCGGUUUUCAAUAAUAAAAUGCUC
rnacentral:lncRNA from 1 species